GCCUCAUUAGCUCAGUGGUUAGAGCACUGGUCUUGUAAACCAGGGGUCCAGGGUUCAACUCUCUGAUGAGGCU
rnacentral:tRNA from 1 species